GGCCUGCGCAUGCGCGCGCCCCAGGGCCCAGCCCUGUUCCUGCUCCGGCUCCUGCGGGGAUGGAUGCUUCACGCAGUAAGCGACCUAAGUCGCGGAAGCGUAGACACCCGGCUUUUCCCGCGUGCUCUAUCGGGCUCCCCUGGACACGGAGGGUGGAGCAGAAAGAGCAGAGGGGCCGGUGGGAGCCAUGGGGAGUCCGCCUAGCUCCAGAGGACACCUUACCUGGAUCCGCCUUUGUAGCCUCCUCCUGGCUCUGGGGGCUGUCCUGUGGGGUCCGAGUAGCUGAAAGACAGCCCCUCCAUGUGAGGAAGCCCCCAACUGGGGAAAACCCCCUCGUGGACUCAUUCCUGUCCCUGCAUGUGGCCUUCACCUGACUGUCUGCAUUGAGGCAUCCUCUGCCAAGAGCAAUUUCAAAGUGGCAGGAAAGUGCUGCUUUCAACAUCUGCCACAUUUGCAAGAAGAGCAAAGGUGGCCCAUUUGAGACCACCCUUGAACUAAACCAUCCAGUGAGCCCCUGAGGUCGGGACAGAAGUGGCCAUGACCUUCCUCAAGCAGGGACUGUGGUGGAGCCCACCUUAUCCAGCACAAGGUGGCCUGCUGACUUCUGGUGACAGUGAUGCCAACUUCCUGGCUGUCCAAGGUUCAAAUCUUGGUCUUAAUCCUCCUGGCCUUCUCUCAUCAAUGGCCAGAGCCACCCUAGCUAACAAGAAGCUGACAAGUACCUGCCGGAAAAACUGCCUCUUUUCCCUCCCGUGCUUGGAGCAGGCAUUGCUGACAGAUCACAGCUGCUGGGCCCAAAGGUCCCUUUGCACGCGGGACUUCAGGAAGUUGCUGCUGACCUAUGGGAGUUGGUGCAGAAAGAUGAAAUUUGUUAUCCUUGGCUGUAUCAACUCUCUCUCCUCUCCUUGGUGGUGAUAGUUUUGUUCUUAAAAGCCUCUUGUGAGAGAAUUUGUGGAUGAAGAACCUGUAAGAUCACAAGUGAAACAAUUUAUUGAUGUCAAUAGAUUUAUACACGUUCAUUAAGAAUCAAAACUAAACUAAAACAUCAGUCUGACUAAAGAGACCACCACAGAUAUUUCAUAUGCUGUACAUCAGUAACAAAGGGUACCAAAUAGUUAAUAUCCAUGUACUAGUCACAUGAGAAAUGUUUUAGGGUCAUUGACCAGUGUAGUCAGUACAGUGGUCCCAUGGUAUUUGUGGGGGAUUGGUUCCAGGAAUCUCUUGGACACCAACUCCGUGGAUGAUCAGACAAUAUAAAAUGUGGGUCAGGUGCGGUGGCUCAUACCUGUAAUCCCAGCAUUUUGCGAGAAUCACUUGAGGCCAGUUCAAGAUCAGCCUGUGCAACAUAGCAAGACUCCACCUCUAAAAAAAAAAAAAAAAAAAAAAA
ensembl:lncRNA novel transcript